ensembl:lncRNA PDE7B-AS1 PDE7B antisense RNA 1
CCUCUCCUGUUCAAUUGGAAUUCAAGGACUUAAUCCACUUUUAAUUACACUGUUCCUGUUGUUGCAUCAAAAGCUAAAAUGACUGAGCUGCUGAAAACCUUGCUGCUCUCCUGUUCUCCUGAUAGUGAGGGAGUUCUCAGGAGAUCUGGUUGUUUGAAAUGUGACCUGGCCCAAUGUAGCAGGGGUUGACCAGACUGCAGAGGACGGGGAGUUCAGCUCACAAUGAGGAUGGAGAAGCAAGGAAGCUCUUUUGUGGAUUAAGCAACAACAAAAACCAAAACAAACCAAAAA